GAUGAAGAACGUAGCGAAAUGCGAUAAGUAAUGUGAAUUGCAGAAUUCAGUGAAUCAUCGAAUCUUUGAACGCAUCUUGCGCUCCUUGGUAUUCCUUGGAGCAUGCCUGUUUGAGUAUCAUGAGCAAAUCUCAAAGUCAAUUCCUUUUGUUGAUUCAAUUGGUUUUGCUUUGGACUUGGAGGCCUUGCAGAUUUCACAGUCUGCUCCUCUUAAAUGCAUUAGCUGGAUCUCAGUAAUUAUGCUUGGUUCCACUCGGCGUGAUAUGUAUCACUCGCUGAGGACACUGUUAAAAAGGUGGCCAGGAAAAUACUGAUUGAACCGCUUCUAACGGUCUAUUAAGUUAGACAAUUACCCUUAAGUUUGAUCUCAAAUCAGGUAGGACUACCCGCUGAACUUAAGCAUAUCAAUAAGCGGAGGA
rnacentral:misc_RNA from 1 species